CUGCCCCUGCCUUGCCAGUCAACAUUGACUUCAUAAAGGAAACUGACGAAGAAGUACAAACUGAUGUCCAUAUUGAAGUCGAGACAUGGGCUCACAAUGCAUCAGUUCAAGUUGAUGCUGAACAGUUUCUCCAGAUAGAGGUAGUGCCGGAACCACAGGAUCACACCUAUUCAGCAUCAGCCAUUGCUACUACUUCAGCAGCUGAGCCCAAGGAUGUUGGAGUACAAGUUGAAAGGGAGGCAGAUCUAACAGAAGCACCUACUGAUCAGAGAGCCCGGACCAGAGGAAGGAUUCUUGCUAGUGACAAGAGUGUUCAGCGCUAUACAGGUCUUCCUAACAAAAGUGUUUUGAUUUCUAUUUAUCAGACCAUUAAAAAGAGAGUAAAAACAAUUAAUUAC